AUGAUGUAAAUCUAGGUAGAGGAUGAGAUUUGGUUGCAAAAAGUACAAGCAAUUUGUAAAAAAAAAUGAAAGAAAAAAAAGAGCAAGGUUAGGGUUAACAGGUUGCAGGAAGAAAAAGAAAGAAAGAAAGAAAAAAAAAUGGAGAAGAAAUACCACAGAUUGAGGAGAAAAAAAGGGAAUCCGAGUGCUGGAGGGGUGUGGGCCGGAGCAGGCACGGGCUAGGUGCCGGAAGUGGGCGACCGGAAUGGGAGGAGGAAGAAGAAGAAGAGAAAAGAAAAAAAAUUUGAAAAACGGGGCUGUCAGGUUGUUGGGACGACAAAGGGGCCCGUUCGCGGGUUUUCGG
rnacentral:lncRNA from 1 species